AGAGUUUGAUCAUGGCUCAGAUUGAACGCUGGCGGAAUGCUUUACACAUGCAAGUCGAACGGUAGAGGGGGCAACCCCUCGAGAGUGGCGAACGGGUGAGUAAUAUAUCGGAACGUGCCCAGUCGUGGGGGAUAACGUAGCGAAAGUUACGCUAAUACCGCAUACGAUCUAAGGAUGAAAGCGGGGGAUCGCAAGACCUCGCGCGAUUGGAGCGGCCGAUAUCAGAUUAGGUAGUUGGUGAGGUAAAGGCUCACCAAGCCAACGAUCUGUAGCUGGUCUGAGAGGACGACCAGCCACACUGGAACUGAGACACGGUCCAGACUCCUACGGGAGGCAGCAGUGGGGAAUUUUGGACAAUGGACGCAAGUCUGAUCCAGCCAUUCCGCGUGCAGGACGAAGGCCUUCGGGUUGUAAACUGCUUUUGUACAGAACGAAAAGGUCUCUAUUAAUACUGGGGGCUCAUGACGGUACUGUAAGAAUAAGCACCGGCUAACUACGUGCCAGCAGCCGCGGUAAUACGUAGGGUGCAAGCGUUAAUCGGAAUUACUGGGCGUAAAGCAUGCGCAGGCGGUUAUAUAAGACAGAUGUGAAAUCCCCGGGCUCAACCUGGGAACUGCAUUUGUGACUGUAUAGCUGGAGUGCGGCAGAGGGGGAUGGAAUUCCGCGUGUAGCAGUGAAAUGCGUAGAUAUGCGGAGGAAC
rnacentral:rRNA from 1 species